ensembl:lncRNA
GAAACUUAUACAGGUUUUGGGUGAACUCUUCCUUUAACUACAUUGGUUUAAAUAAUAUUAUCUCAUCCUGAGAAAGUAAAGUUACCCAGUUGAAUUCUGAUAACAGACUUUAAAUUGAAUCCUCAUUAAAACUUUUCUUACUAAAGUAAAAAAGAAAUGUUAGCAACGUUGACUUCAAAGAGGCUUGAUAAUCUUCAAAGCUUUUGUCCCUUUAAUGUUUCUUUAAUAAGGUGGAUUAUUCUGUUUCAGGCUCAUCAACUGGUUCUCCCAUCAUCUGAGUAACUUCCAGUUUAGAUGGAGCUGGGAUGACUGGUGAGGAGGAGCUGUUUCCUCUGGGAAUUAUUUGUACAGGCUGUGCAUUGUCUAAAAGUUGUUUAUUUUAUAUAAGUAUUGAAUUUUGAUCUCUUCAGGGCUGACUGCUUGACUCAAGAUAUUGAAAAGCCUAAACCCAAGUUCGUUAAAGAGGUUUUGGAAAAGUGUAUGAGGUUGUCGUACCAUCAGCGCAUAGUGGACAUUGUUCCGCCGAGUUUCACUGCCCUGAUCCCGGCUAACCCUGUGUGUAGCUAUAAAUACGGAGACGAGGCUGACAGUAUGUUCAUGCUCACAAACACAUCUGUGAUUCAAUGUGUACAUUUAUAUGCAUGCAUGUAUACAUGUCUUUGAUUUUUACGUUCUCAUAGUGACAACCGACCACUUCCACUACGUUUUAUUAUUUAUUGUUUUGCAGCUACAUUAUAUCUCAGUGUAGUUUGGUGAUACUGUUGUGUAAUGUUGCUUGUCUAUUUCUUUUAAUUUGUUUCAGGUUCAUUACCAGGAUUAGCUAUGACAACUACAGUGGGUAACGCUAUCAAAAACCGGGCAUCUAAUGAGGAGAUUCUCAUUGUUCUGAAAGAUGUCCCUAAUCCAAACCAGGAUGAUGAUGAUGGUGGGUCAGCCUUUUGGUCUCAUAUGACAUUAAGCCACUUGCCAAUCAUAGUCCAGCAUCUAGUCUAGGGCAGGGGUCCUCAACUCUGGAACUUGAGAUUCACUUUCCUGCAGAGAUUAGCUCCAAACUGGAUUAAACACACCUACCUGGAACUUUGUAGUAAUACUGAAGACCUUGAUUAGCUUGUUCAGGUGUGUUUGAUUUUGGAGCUAACUCUGCAGGGAAGUGGAUCUUGAGGUCCAGAGUUGAGGACCCCUGGUCUAGCGCUAUCAAUUGAAUAUAAAUAGAUAAUUGUUAAAGAUAUUCAAUUCAAUUAACUAAAUAUUAUGUAUUUAAUAUUUAUGUACGUAAUUCAUAAUGCAUGUAUAUACAUUUCAUUAAAUAAUCCUGAAAAAAGUCACUAUAAUACAAUAAUAUAAUACAAUGAUUUCUGAAGGAUCAUGU